ensembl:lncRNA
ACAUCUCGAGUGCAGAAAACCAGGGGACCAAGAUGGAGUGCUGAGUUCCUGCUGAUCUGUCCUCAGUUGCACCAAAUGAGAAAUCAACUUGGCCAUGUUUUGGGACAUUUAUAGCAGAUGUGAGAGCCUGAAAUUCAACCUGAGGCUGGAGGUCAGACAAAGCUUCCUGACUGCAAUAUCUGUGGGGCUGAAGGGCAGGAUGUGCAGGAUGUGAGGAGCAGCUUGCUUUCUUCAUCAGCCCAAUGGCAGAUCUAAGAACAUACCUUCACUUUGCGGAGGAUGGCAUGACCUCAGAGCACUGCCACAGUCACCAGAAGGGCUCAUGGAUGGCGCUGGUUAUGGUGGGAUCUGUCAUGCGUGCACUGGAGGGGUGCUGAGUGGUAACGCUGGGACUGCCUUGUCCUGAGGACAUCUACUCUUCUUGCUCACUGUCAGCUCAGGAGGACAUGAAGCCAAGGAGGCAGCAGCUAUGAUGGCAUCACGGAGGGAACCAGAGCCUGAAUAAACACAUACGUCACCCAGCUGAGAGUGGAUGAACUUCAGCUUCCUCCAAACACACCUCUCACAAGAGCUGCUGUGAAUCACAGCAAAACAUCGAGUCUAACUGAAACACUGAAUCACAGAACCAGCUGUCACACAGCCCUGCAGCAUCUCCUGCAGGAGCUCAUCCAGCGUCAGCCCUGCUCUCCAGGUCUCUCUCUUCUGCAGGACAUCCACAUCCUCAAAGCAAGAAACAGAGGAAGGCAUUUCUAUUUAAGCAGCGGACAUGGGGCAGUUCUGGUCUGUAAGCCAUGUCGGCCACAGGAGUUCUUGUUAUUUGGAGAUGGUGUUUUAGGUUAUGGGACAAGAUUGCUUCACCUUUGAGCGGGCAGGUAAGGGCAUCUUGGACCUGCAUCUGGCUUCUGUUGGCUUGAUCUGAUGUCCUCUGGGUCUUGGAUGAGAGGAGAGAGUAUGCAGCUCUACUCAGUGCCUCCAUGUCUCUCACAGCUUUGUAGAUCUAUCCUAUCUCUCCAUAUCUACAGCCAUAUCCCCAGGUCUAUAACACCAAGAAGAGCAGAAAACAACUCGGAAAGCCAGUAACCCCUAUGCUUCACUGAGGCAAAUCCAAAUACUCUAAAGCACUUUCACAUUUCAUCUACCUCCAAAGAAGAAAAGCCUUGACUUCUUCUUUCUCUCUGGGAUUAAGGCAUUCCAGAACAAGCACAGGAGACCUGUGUCACCUUUGACGUGGGGGAGUCUUUAAAUCUGAUCAUAAGCAUCUACCAGGACAGUUCUAGGAAAAAAAGCUAUUUGUCAUUCAAGUGGCCUGAACUUCCAGGCUCCUACACCCAGGCUCAGGUCUCUCUUCUGUAAGGGUUCUACACCCUCUUUUGACCCAGUCCUUCCUUCUAAUUCAUUCCAGACAAAGAAAUCCACUAGGCCACCUUGCUGCCCAGCUUUCUUCUACCACCAAACACCAGCAUGCAUCUACUGGCAUAAACGUGAUCACAAAGUCGUGACUGCACAGGGAGAACAAACACGCUGAGCAGAUGGGUUGUGAGGGAGGAAGCCCUCAUUUAAAACACAAAUAACUGGCAAUAACUUAGCAGAUGUGGUAAGAGGAAUCUGGACAGACAAGCAUGAGGUGACUGGAUUCCAAUUUCAGUCAGCAAAAUAGCCAAAGCUUUGUCACUCUAUUAAUUUUCCUUU